AUGACGUCAAGUCCUCAUGCCUACUGUCCAGGGCUACACACGUGCUACAAUGGCCGGUACAAAGGGGCGCAAGACCGCGAGGUGGAGCAAAUCCCAAAAAACCGGUCUCAGUUCGGAUUGGAGUCUGCAACUCGACUCCAUGAAGUUGGAAUCGCUAGUAAUCGCGUAUCAGCAUGACGCGGUGAAUACGUUCCCGGGCCUU
rnacentral:rRNA from 1 species